rnacentral:rRNA from 1 species
GACGAACGCUGGCGGCGUGCUUAACACAUGCAAGUCGAACGGUAAGGCCCUUCGGGGUACACGAGUGGCGAACGGGUGGGUAACACGUGGGUGAUCUGCCCUGCACUUCGGGAUAAGCCUGGGAAACUGGGUCUAAUACCGGAUAGGACCCUGGGAUAAAUGUCCUGGGGUGGAAAGCUUUUGCGGUGUGGGAUGGGCCCGCGGCCUAUCAGCUUGUUGGUGGGGUGAUGGCCUACCAAGGCGACGACGGGUAGCCGGCCUGAGAGGGUGACCGGCCACACUGGGACUGAGAUACGGCCCAGACUCCUACGGGAGGCAGCAGUGGGGAAUAUUGCACAAUGGGCGCAAGCCUGAUGCAGCGACGCCGCGUGAGGGAUGACGGCCUUCGGGUUGUAAACCUCUUUCAGCACCGACGAAGCGCAAGUGACGGUAGGUGCAGAAGAAGGACCGGCCAACUACGUGCCAGCCGCCGCAGUAA